rnacentral:tRNA from 31 species
GCGGGCAUCGUAUAAUGGCUAUUACCUCAGCCUUCCAAGCUGAUGACGCGGGUUCGAUUCCCGCUGCCCGCUCCA